AAUAUGAACUUGCAUUCUAAUGCGAGCACUGUAGAACCCCAUUUUCCUUUGGUCUCCCCCGAUACUCUCACCUGGAUUCUGUGCAUUACCCAUUGGUUUGUAGGCUCUAAAAGAAGGGGAAAAACGAUGGCUUCGACAUUUAAAGCAGAGAAUUUAGGUUUCAUUCAUCUCGUUAAUCCUAAACUUCCAUAUCGGACGCAGUGUGCUACUGGGUCUAGGUUUGCAGGUUCAAACACAAUUCGUUUUGUUUCAGGGAGGAUAUCGGGAAGGCAGGAUUUGCGUUUGAUUGCGGCGCAUACCCACAUCAAAUGUGCUGCUUCAUCUGGAAGGAACCAGCUAGAACUUAGUUUCAGUGAGGACGACAACCGUUCAGAGGCCUUUUGGUCAUCUCUUAUUAAAGAAGCAUUCUGGGGCUUGAGAUCAUUGCUUGUAUUCCUGGUUGAGCAGCCUGGGCAGUUGAAGUAUAUCGAGUGGCCAAGCUUCCAAAGCACGCUCAAGACAGCAACUCUCACCCUUGUUCUUGUGGCGUUGCUUAUUGUUGCGCUAGCAUCUGUUGAUUCAGCACUCUGCUUUCUAUUAGCUUUGCUUCUUCGGAAGUCUGCAUGAUCCUACGCUGCUUCCGAAUACAUACACAUUAGGGGGUUUUCGAGUUAACUAUUCCAGAUGCUGACCAGAAGAUCGAUCAGGGUUGAGUAGCAUCACUGGCAUGUUACAUCAUAGUUGAUAUCAAAAAAGUGUAAUUGGAGUAGCAGGUUGUCAAUAGAAAAGCUUCAGAUUGGCUGUGUCCGAGAGCGAUAUCUGGCUGAUAUCAAAUUGGUUACAAAAAAUAUUGAAAACUCUUCGUGGCUUUCCAUCUAACCUCACAAAACUCUUGAUGUUUUGCGACACAUUUUUGGUGGAACCACAAAUCUUUUAAGCCUAUUUUCACUUCACCACCUAGAGGAGGUUAUGCUGGAUUGUUGGAACAGGGGACCAGAUUACCAUUUGAUCGGAUCCUUGGAUUCCUGGGCUACAAAGCUUCAAGAUUUCAAACUCUGUUACUCAUAGAUUGCAUUAUUUUGUGUCCUGAUUUCCCCAGGCAGGACUUGAAACAUUGCAUUAUUAAAAUAAAUACCUUUGUUCCCACAAUGCGGUUCAAUUGCGUUAUGAACAUUCCUAUUCCAAACCAUAAGAGGCAAGACACCUUGGUUUGCACUUGUUCCAAAGCUGGAAACCUUCACUACAAAACAAGCUUACAGAGGGGUAGGUAGAGUGAACUAUAUCAUGUGGCAGUUAUUUUCUUUACUUGUAUGGUGAAACAACUCCUCCCUGCAAUUCCCACAAUAAAAAUGUAGUUCAUGGAAUCGACAUUGGUAUCGUUUUGCCGGCGACAUCAACAUGACACCGAUAAAUAUAGAUUCGACUCUUCUCCUGAGCAUCCAUCUCUUAGGACAGUCCAUAGCUACCUGGUCAAGCGCCAUGUGUCCAGGCGAAGAUUCAACGCUUUGAAAAAAAGGCACGAUGAACGAGAUGCUAAUUAGACACUAACAAAGGUGUGAAAAACAAGACGUUAAGUACUGUUGGAUCCUCUCCUGGACACAUGGCAUUUGUCCAGGUAACUAUGAGCAAGACUUGGGCGGUGGACACUCUGGAGAGGAGCCGGAUUCAUAUCAUACCGUUUUUUCAACAAAAAGAAAAAUAGUAUCACAUGGGUUUUAGUUCCCACAAUAGAUUCCAAAUUUCUGAUCCAUCAUUUGCGUUCAGACUUGAGACAUGGCCGUAAAACCUGUGAAUAUCUUUAACAUAUAAAGAUCCAAAUCCAAUGUUUAUUUAUUUGCAAAACUCAUAAAAAUGCUCCAUAAGAGAAUAUGUCCAUGGACUGGACGACAAAGAUCAUCCAAUCAGAUAUUGCUUUUACAGUGCCUUUAGAUGUCAGUCUCUUUCAUGAAACCUCACAUGGUGUCAUGCUCUGUUGGUAAGGAUUCUUGAAGUUGCAGCCCUGCCUGCGUAUUUCUCAUUGUAAUUCGUAUAUUAUGUCAAAAGUAGAACUCUUACUGUCAUUAUUUACACAGCAACAUUGAAAUGAACGACGGCUACUAAAAGCAGAGCAGAGAAGGCAAUCUUCUGGUCUCUCAUUUCCUUUGCCCUCUCUUCUUUGAGCUUUUUCCCUCUUUUCUUGCUUUGGCGAACUCUACCCAUUUGAAAAGAGAACCUAACCUGUUCUUAAAGCAAUAAAAGGGAAAAAGCUGUGUCAUAGAGAAAUAGGUACAAAGCAAUAAAGAAAGGAAAAGGUUUGGCAUUGUGGGAAUCUUUCUCGUUUUCCAGAGUAUUGCUGAUCCCACAGCACCCUCUUUCUCUCUGUUCCUGGUGCUGUGCCUACUUUUCAUGCUCUUCUCCUCCUCCCCCCCCCCCCCCCCCCUUCUCUUUUUCUUCCGUCUUUUUCACACACAUUCACGUCCCUCCUCUCUCUACCUUGUCUCCCUCAUUCUCAGGCUCUAUGCGUGUGUAACUUACUGAGACUGGUCAUGGUUUUGGCUUAAGCUAAUGUCCAUUUCUCGAUGGGUUUUUCAUGUGGAGAUGGAUAUGAUACCCGAGAAGCCAAAGUUCCACUGAGGCCUGAGAUUGAAGAGGCAGGGGCUCAAGAAGGUGUAAGCAUGCAGGGUGGUCAUGGAUUAGAACUGGAUCUAGAGUUCAAGCCCAUAGAGCAUCCAGUGGAGCCACCUGAUGAGGACAGGCCCGUCAAAUGCCCAAUUCCUGGCUCUUCAGUGCCAAAUGAUGUACAAAUGCGGGAGGAACCGCUUGCCGAAAGCUUGAGGAAGAGAGGAGAACUAUCAUCAGAUAUGAACGAGGAAGGGAUGUUGGUGGUGGCUAUUGAGCCUCCAGCUCAAGCAGUGCGUAAGAGGCAUCAUACUCUCACUCGCAACCAUUCAAUACCACCCCUAUUCAAGAGGGCUCCUCUUCCCCCUUUACCAUCUCAGAAUAGUACAAUCUUCCAAAUGCUUCAACAAUGCGAUGAGUAUGAACCCGGACAAGAUAUACAAUAUUAGAUGAUUAUAACUUCUGCAGUUUGGUGUGUACCACCCAUUACAGAUUAGUUAGUAUUCAAUAUCCCAAAGUUCCACAUAGCUUCUAUAGAUAGAGAUAAAUCCCAGUUUUAAAUUUUCAGUCUGCUAGUAGGAAGGACUUGAAGUUAAUGUCUGUGGGGAUAGGUAUUUUUUAGGGUAUCUGGAAACCAUUAUAUAGCUCAAUGUAAAGGUAUUUGAUUACUUUAUACCUUGAUGUGCUGGGUAAUCAAACAUGAAACCUCAUCAGGAUACCUUUUGCUUU